GUUUGCCGGCCUCGCGGUCGGCUCGCCUCAAAUGCAUUAGCUGGACUAGCCCUUGGGAUGGUUUGACUUGGCGUAAUAAGUAUUUCGCUGAGGACACUUCGGUGGCCACCCCUGGACGUCGUCUGCUUUCCAACCCGUCUUCGGACAACUACUUUCAUUGAUCUGGCCUCAAAUCAGGUAGGACUACCCGCUGAACUUAA
rnacentral:misc_RNA from 1 species